rnacentral:misc_RNA from 1 species
AAGUCGUAACAAGGUUUCCGUAGGUGAACCUGCGGAAGGAUCAUUAAAAGUGAAUUGGUUAAUGACAUUUCAUGUAUCAACUGCAUUAACCCAUUCCGAGUACCUUGCCUGUUGCUUCCAUGGGGCCUGACCUAUGGUCACUCUUGAUGAUUGUGAAACCCAAGAGAGUCCCCCAUGGGGAGGUAAUCAUUAAAUUUCAAUGUAUCCAAUGUACUUCUGUCUGAACUGUUUAUAACAAAUGUUAAAA